GGGAUACCCGCUGAACUUAAGCAUAUCAAUAAGCGGAGGAAAAGAAACCAACAGGGAUUACCUCAGUAACGGCGAGUGAAGCGGUAACAGCUCAAAUUUGAAAUCUGGCUCCUCGGGGCCCGAAUUGUAAUUUGUAGAAGAUGCUUUGGGUCUGGGCCUGGCCUAAGUUCCUUGGAACAGGACGUCGUAGAGGGUGAGAAUCCCGUAUGCGGCUGGCGCCCGUGCCCGUGUAAAGCUCUUUCAACGAGUCGAGUUGUUUGGGAAUGCAGCUCUAAAUGGGUGGUAAAUUUCAUCUAAAGCUAAAUAUUGGCCAGAGACCGAUAGCGCACAAGUAGAGUGAUCGAAAGAUGAAAAGCACUUUGGAAAGAGAGUUAAACAGUACGUGAAAUUGUUGAAAGGGAAGCGCUGGCAACCAGACUUGGGCGCUGUUGAUCCGCUAGGGUUCUCUCUAGGGCACUCGGCAGUGCGCAGGCCAGCAUCGGUUUGGGGGGUUGGAGAAUGGCUGGUGGAAUGUGGCUGUCUUUGGGCAGUGUUAUAGCCACCGGUGGCAUGCAGCCUCCCCGGACCGAGGACCGCGC
rnacentral:rRNA from 1 species